AUUGAACGCUGGCGGCAGGCCUAACACAUGCAAGUCGAACGGUAACAGGGAUCAGCUUGCUGAUUCGCUGACGAGUGGCGGACGGGUGAGUAAUGUCUGGGAAACUGCCUGAUGGAGGGGGAUAACUACUGGAAACGGUAGCUAAUACCGCAUAACGUCGCAAGACCAAAGAGGGGGACCUUCGGGCCUCUUGCCAUCGGAUGUGCCCAGAUGGGAUUAGCUAGUAGGUGGGGUAACGGCUCACCUAGGCGACGAUCCCUAGCUGGUCUGAGAGGAUGACCAGCCACACUGGAACUGAGACACGGUCCAGACUCCUACGGGAGGCAGCAGUGGGGAUUAUUGCACAAUGGGCGCAAGCCUGAUGCAGCCAUGCCGCGUGUAUGAAGAAGGCCUUCGGGUUGUAAAGUACUUUCAGCGGGGAGGAAGGGAGUAAAGUUAAUACCUUUGCUCAUUGACGUUACCCGCAGAAGAAGCACCGGCUAACUCCGUG
rnacentral:rRNA from 1 species